rnacentral:rRNA from 1 species
CCUACGGGAGGCAGCAGUGGGGAAUAUUGCGCAAUGGGCGAAAGCCUGACGCAGCGACGCCGCGUGAGGGAUGAAGGUCUUCGGAUCGUAAACCUCUGUCAGCAGGGAAGAACGGUCACGGGGCUAAGCAGCAGUGAAUUGACGGUACCUGCAAAGGAAGCACCGGCUAACUCCGUGCCAGCAGCCGCGGUAAUACGGAGGGUGCGAGCGUUAAGCGGAAUUACUGGGCGUACAGCGCUCGUAGGCGGUAUGUCAAGUCAAGGGUGAAAUCCCCGCGCUCAACGUGGGAACUGCCUUUGAAACUGGCAACCUGUAGUGUGUGAGCGGCUAGUGGACUUCCAGGUGUAGGCGU